GAACGAUGAUGAUAAACAUAUUUGCUAUUUGAGAGCAGCAUGAUACAAAAAAAUCUACCACCUAGAUCUCUGAGUUC